GCGGGAGUUGCCUAGCCUGGUCAAAGGCGUAAGGUUCAGAUCCUUAUCUCUUAGGAGUUCGUGGGUUCAAAUCCCAUCUCCCGCACCA
rnacentral:tRNA from 1 species